rnacentral:rRNA from 1 species
CUUCGGGCUCUUCUUGCGCAGCUUAGGUGGAAGGCUGAGAAAGGCAAUUCCGGUUGUCUGGAGCCAUCAGUGAGAUACCACUCUGGGAGAGCUAGGAGUCUAAUGGCGUUCCUUGAAUCAGGACGCUUGACAGUUUCAGGUGGGCAGUUUUACUGGGGCGGUAGCCUCCUAAAAGGUAACGGAGGCGUGCAAAGGUUCCCUCAGGCUGGACGGAAAUCAGCCAUAGAGUGUAAAGGCAGAAGGGAGCUUGACUGCAAGACCUACAAGUCGAGCAGGGACGAAAGUCGGCCUUAGUGAUCCGACGGUGCCGUGUGGAAGGGCCGUCGCUCAACGGAUAAAAGUUACUCUAGGGAUAAC